UUUAUAUAUUUUUUAUUCAUUCAAAGGAUAAUUUAGUCCUAAAUCUCAGGCACUGAUCAUGGUAUAAGAAGAUCACCACGUCUUCUUGUAUAUCUCCUCCAAGAAAAGAACAAGCAUCAAGAAUUGAAGACUCAACAACAACUACUCCAUCCAGUAAUAUUAAUACAAAAACAACUUCUCAACUCUCCUACUGCGACAACAUCUAUCCACAGGUCAUCUCACAUGGUGACAACUCUUGUGCCUUAAGACUUGUCUACAGUAUUAGAAAAACCAAGCAAAAAUUCAAAUGAACUUGCUAGACGUCAUAAAGCAAUGACCACCUAAUAUUAUCUACAGUAGGGUUCUUCAGAAAAGACCAAACCCAGCCCAUUCAGCAUCACUCACCACUCGGGGAGAUGACCGGUACGAUGAGAAAGACGACGCCGAUGAGUCAUGGAAAGGCGAAAGUGACUUCCGGCUUGACAGUGACCACCUAGCAAGUGUCUCAAGGUCAGAAGUAUAGUCGGAUUCGGAUUCAGGUACCUGGGUGGUUCUUCUCUUGCUGUCUUUCCUCCUUAGUAAAGGGGAUGGAAAGCAUCCGGGCGAGACACAUUCGGGGCUGACACGGGUGGGUUGGUCGAACCGCCAACGCUCAGAGCGGGUACGUGGAGUUGUACGGAAGGAACGGGUACGGGGCUCCGGUGGAGGGAGAAAAAUGAAUCCAGCUGGUGGGGGUUUAAGUUUAAGCUUUUGUUGAGUUCGUGGAGUAGGUGGUGAACGGUGAGGGGUGAAAGGCGGUGAUGGGGAUGGUAAAGCGGGUGGUGAUAAUUGCUUUGGUUGGAGUUUUUGUUGAUGGGUAUGGAUCUUGGGAACACCGGGUCGGAUCUCCCACUUAAAAGGGACAGCUCCAGGUUUCUUGAAGGAAUCAUCUAUAUCAUCCACAGCCAUAUCUGCUUUGAG
rnacentral:misc_RNA from 1 species